CUCUUUGGAGACUCGUUUAUGAGGGAUCUCUCCAAACAUGUAGCGGUAUUCACUACCCUAAAUAAGGCCCAAUCCUCCUUGCGCAGGGUUUUUUGUUCCCAGUCAGGACGUUUUUCUGAGAGAGCUGGACGUUCUAGAGGCCGAACAAACAGCAGAGUUGCCUUCACAGGCUACAGGCCUCGCCCUUCAGAGAAUUAUUGGCACUCAGGACAACCCCGACCCUACCACAGGCAGUUAUUCACCAAUAGAGGAUCUAACCAG